rnacentral:rRNA from 1 species
CUCCCUAACGCGUAGUCAACCUAACCUAUGGACGGGAAUAACCUCGGGAAACUGAGUAUAAUGCCCGAUAGAACAUUAUGCCUGGAAUGGUUUAUGUUCCAAAUGAUUUAUCGCCGUAGGAUGGGACUGCGGCCUAUCAGUUUGUUGGUGAGGUAAUGGCCCACCAAGACUAUUACAGGUACGGGCUCUGAGAGGAGUAGCCCGGAGAUGGGUACUGAGACACGGACCCAGGCCCUAUGGGGCGCAGCAGGCGAGAAAACUUUGCAAUGUGCGAAAGCACGACAAGGUUAAUCCGAGUGGUUUCUGCUAAAGGAACCUUUUGUCGGUCCUAGAAACACCGAUGAAUAAGGGGUGGGCAAGUUCUGGUGUCAGCCGCCGCGGUAAAACCAGCACCUCAAGUGGUCAGGAUGAUUAUUGGGCCUAAAGCAUCCGUAGCCGG